UGGGGAAUUUUGCACAAUGGGGGAAACCCUGAUGCAGCGACGCCGCGUGAUUUAGAAGGCCUUCGGGUUGUAAAAAUCUUUUCUAUGGGAAGAAAAUGACAGUACCAUAGGAAUAAGGACCGGCUAAUUACGUGCCAGCAGCCGCGGUAAUACGUAAGGUCCGAGCGUUGUCCGGAAUCAUUGGGCGUAAAGGGUACGUAGGCGGGUAAGCAAGUUAGAAGUGAAAUCCUAUAGCUCAACUAUAGUAAGCUUUUAAAACUGCUCAUCUUGAGGUAUGGAAGGGAAAGUGGAAUUCCUGGUGUAGCGGUGAAAUGCGCAGAUAUUAGGAAGAAUACCGGUGGCGAAGGCGACUUUCUGGCCAUAACCUGACGCUGAGGUACGAAAGCGUGGGUAGCAAACAGG
rnacentral:rRNA from 1 species